rnacentral:rRNA from 1 species
AAGACCUUGCGCUUUUGGAGCGGCCGAUGCCUGAUUAGCUUGUUGGUAAGGUAAAAGCUUACCAAGGCUUCGAUCAGUAGCUGGUCUGAGAGGACGGCCAGCCACACUGGGACUGAGACACGGCCCAGACUCCUACGGGAGGCAGCAGUGGGGAAUUUUGGACAAUGGGGGCAACCCUGAUCCAGCCAUGCCGCGUGAGUGAAGAAGGCCUUCGGGUUGUAAAGCUCUUUCAGCCGGAACGAAACGGUUACGGUUAAUACCCGUGAUUACUGACGGUACCGGAAGAAGAAGCACCGGCUAACUACGUGCCAGCAGCCGCGGUAAUACGUAGGGUGCGAGCGUUAAUCGGAAUUACUGGGCGUAAAGGGUGCGCAGGCGGCUUUGUAAGUCAGAUGUGAAAUCCCCGGGCUUAACCUGGGAACU